rnacentral:rRNA from 1 species
UUACGGUCAUAUCACAUUGAAACAUUGGUUCCGUACGCUCAGCGAAGUUAAGCAACAUUGAGUCUGGUCAGUACAUAGAUGGGUGACCGCUUGAGAAUACCAGGUGCUGUAA